rnacentral:pre_miRNA from 1 species
CGGGGGAGGCCGGAUCCUGGGUGUGUCCCGGCGCCCUGUGCUCCGGGGCCUGAGCUGGUGGAGUCGCGCUCCCGCCCCGCAGCCCCUU